rnacentral:rRNA from 1 species
UACGAAGGGUGCAAACGUUGCUCGGAAUUAUUGGGCGUAAAGCGCACGUAGGCGGCUCUAUAAGUUGGAUGUGAAAUCCCUCGGCUCAACCAAGGAAGUGCAUCCAAAACUGUGGAGCUUGAGUACUAAAGAGGAUCGCGGAAUUCCCGGUGUAGAGGUGAAAUUCGUAGAUAUCGGGAGGAACACCAGUGGCGAAGGCGGCGAUCUGGGUAGAUACUGACGCUGAGGCACGAAAGCGUGGGGAGCAAACAGG